rnacentral:rRNA from 1 species
UAAGACGGAGGAUGCAAGCGUUAUCCGGAAUUAUUGGGCGUAAAGCGUCCGCAGGUGGCAUUUCAAGUCUGCUGUCAAAGACCGGGGCUUAACCCCAGAAAGGCAGUGGAAACUGAAAAGCUAGAGAUAGGUAGGGGCAGAGGGAAUUCCCAGUGUAGCGGUGAAAUGCGUAGAGAUUGGGAAGAACACCGGUGGCGAAAGCGCUCUGCUGGGCCUUAUCUGACACUCAGGGACGAAAGCUAGGGGAGCGAAUGGGAUUAGAUACCCCAGUAGUCCUAGCCGUAAACAAUGGAUACUAGGUGUAGCCCGUAUCGACCCGGGCUGUGCCGUAGCCAACGCGUUAAGUAUCCCGCCUGGGGAGUACGCACGCAAGUGUG